GCAAACUUGGUCAUUUAGAGGAAGUAAAAGUCGUAACAAGGUUUCCGUAGGUGAACCUGCGGAAGGAUCAUUCACAAUUUACAAGUGCCUCCUACGCUCUGACUCCUUCUAAGGAGGAGGGGACAAGGACACUGUGGACGAAAAAUCCAUUCCCACCUUGUGUGUAUUGUAACAAAACAACCUAUUUCACAGAAUCUGAUUUUUUUUUGCAAGACCGUCUGAAUGCAUCUCAUUAGCCGAUCUGCGGAAGCAGAGAGGGAAAAAAAAAUGAAAUACAACUUUCAACAACGGAUCUCUUGGCUCUCGCAUCGAUGAAGAACGCAGC
rnacentral:misc_RNA from 1 species